UACAGAGGGUGCAAGCGUUAAUCGGAAUUACUGGGCGUAGAGCGAGCGUAGUCGGUUAUUUAAGUCGGGUGUGAAAGCCCCGGGCUCAACCUGGGAAUUGCAUUCGAUACUGGAUAGCUAGAGUUCGGCAGAGGGAAGCGGAAUUUCCGGUGUAGCGGUGAAAUGCGUAGAUAUGCCAUAGAACACCAAUUGCGAAGGCAGCUGGCUAGACCUGUAUUGACGCUGAGGCACGAAAGCGUGGGGAGCGAACAGG
rnacentral:rRNA from 1 species